rnacentral:rRNA from 1 species
AUUGAACGCUGGCGGCAGGCCUAACACAUGCAAGUCGAACGGUAACAGGAAGCAGCUUGCUGCUUCGCUGACGAGUGGCGGACGGGUGAGUAAUGUCUGGGAAGCUGCCUGAUGGAGGGGGAUAACUCCUGGAAACGGUAGCUAAUACCGCAUAAUGUCGCAAGACCAAAGAGGGGGACCUUCGGGCCUCUUGCCAUCGGCUGUGCCCAGAUGGGAUUAGCUUGUUGGUGGGGUAACGGCUCACCAAGGCGACGAUCCCUAGCUGGUCUGAGAGGGUGACCAGCCACACUGGAACUGAGACACGGUCCAGACUCCUACGGGAGGCAGCAGUGGGGAAUAUUGCGCAAUGGGCGCAAGCCUGAUGCAGCCAUGCCGCGUGUAUGAAGAAGGCCUUCGGAUUGUAAAGUACUUUCAGCGGGGAGGAAGGGAGUAAAGUGAAUACCUUGGCUCAUUGACGUUACCCGCAGAAGAAGCACCGGCUAACUCCGUG